ensembl:lncRNA
AUGUGUACAUCAGAAUGUGAAUCGGCGCUGGCGUUUGAACCCGAGCCGGGAGGAAAAUCGCACUGCGUUUAUGAGACGACAGCAGAUGUGGGGUUGCGGCAGUCGUGGCGAGACAGAAAGGUGAGAAAGCAGAAGGACAGGAGCCACGAGAGAGGUGCGGCCGUGUCAGGGCUUCUUUUAACCAGAGCUAAAAAAACAGAAGAGGAAGAACUAUGAUGUGUUCGGUGACAGGCUGUAAAAAGCUUUCAGGAUGGAAAAGAAAGAACGUCAUCGCUCCGUCUCUGAGGAACCGCUUCCACUUCACCGCGCUGAGAAAACUGCGAAAACGCUCCGCGUGGAGACGAUAAACAACAGGAUCUAUCAGGACGAACGUCUCCUUAGGGAAGGAGUGAUGGGAAAUCAAAGUCAC